UUCGCUCUCUCACUCUAAAACCUCCUUCAUCUUCAUCGUUCGUCUCUGUUGUUUUUUCUUCUGGGGAAACCUUCUUCGUCGAUCGUCUCUGUUUAAGUAAUAUUUGAGUUUCGAAAACUUUGGGUUACUCUAUAAGAAGGUGCAGAAACAGGAAUGCUCACCAUCUCUAGGAGCUCAUACAAACAAAAGCAGAGUGUGGUUUUGUAUAACCAAAGGGCUUUGACUCGGGCUCCAUGUCUUCAAUAUAUUUGUAAGUUACUUGAUCAGCCAUGGGGUAAGUAACUCAAUCUCCUUCUCGUCUCAUGUCUCUGCUCUCUUGCUUUAUGAGUAGGUUCUUUAUCGUGUUUAUUUGUGUUUCAUGGGCUAGGAUUGCCUGACCUGUUUGGUUAAAACACCAAACUUGUAGUUUAUAAAACCACAAAACACAGCACAACAAACAAUCAAAAAGAAACCAUUUAACUACACAAAAACACAAGCACAAACACACAAGAAAACAUGAACACGUAUACACAACACUCAAAUCAUAAACUUCACGUGCAGAAACAAAACUCAAAUCCACAAAACAAAACACGUACACACAACACUCCAAACUUAAACCUCACGUGCAGAGAACAAAAUUCAAAUAGGCAAAACAAAAACACGAAACCACAAUGCUUAAAACAAAAACUUCACGAUCAUAGAAUGUAAUUAUUAGAAUUGUGGUGUCAAGGUUUAUAAGUUCAAUGCAGAUGACCGGCUAUUGGUAAGCCUACAGAAAAAUGAAUAUACGAGUGUCAGGUAUUAUCUUGAUCACCACAGUUCGUAUAUCUACAUUAUGUUUUCUCAUGUUACAGUGUCUUUGUCAACCAUAGCCGUUAUAGUCUUAUUGAUUGAACAUUAAUCUAUUGGCUUGAAUGGUCUAUUAAACAUUGAGAGGAAGCAAACUUAUGAUCAAUCUGCUUUAAAUUUCACUUUUUGAGUCUAAAGUGAAAUCAAUUUGACAUAUGUGCAGGGUUUUUUUAUUGGUGGCGAGGAGAGACUUAGCCGCUUUAAUGGAUAUCUCUCUGAACUGGCUACAGCAGCAUUCGUCUGCAAGAUCUUGGAAAAAAUGGCUUUGCAAGAUAUGGUUGGAGUUUUCUACAUUUUUCUCGGAUAUCUUUUGAAGGAACAAUGAUCAUGUUGCAAUUCUAUGGAGAACGAGAUCAAUCCCAACCUUUCUAUUCAAGAGUUUAAUCUGCACCAAAUCAAGUUAGAGGACAAGCGGUACAGCUAGAGGCUAUAACUAUAUGAUUGUGAGAGGUGUCUUGGAAAAUGGCUCCGUUUUGCUGGUCUUUGUGUACUGAUUUCUACAUUUUGUCUUGGACAUCUUCUAAAAGGUGCUACUGAUCCGUAAGCUGACAACUUUAUUUGAUGGUAUUCAUGCCAAACUUUGCGAAUCAUUUAAUUUUUUGGAUUUAGCAUCAAGGCACUGGUUUGGCUUUUGGACAUUGCAUUGUUUUGCUUGGGUUCGGAUUCGAUGAUAAGGUUCAAGAGUGAGCUGCGGUUUUCAAAUUUAACUAUAAAGGCUUCGAGAAAGUGGCCAAAACAUCGUUUGGACUAGAUGAUAACUCUUGCUAGAUGAAUUCAAGAGAAGGGAGCUUUGAGGAGCAAAAAAAAAAACUGAGGACUCGCUUCCAUAACAAAGAUUGAACGAAGAUGGGCUCAAUUAGGGAAGUGGCUUAACUCUCUCUUUCUCUCUCUAUUCUAUACAUCAUGCAUAAGUCCACUUUUAGGAUAACACAAGUAGACUGCGACACAACAAAGCAUUAUUCUUGACAACAUUAGAGCUGUGGGUUAAAGCACCAUCACUUGUUUGUGAGUUUGUGAAUGCUAUUUUGUUUCUGAUAUUUGUAUUUUUUUUUUUGGUAACUGCAGUAAAAUUUGAGUUUCAAAAACUGUUGGUUACUUUAUAAGAGGGUGCAGAAACAGGAAUGCUCACCAUGUCUAGGAGCUCAUGCAAACAAAAGCAGAAUGAGAUUUUUUAGAACCAAAGGGAUUUAACUCGGUUUCAUGUAAUCACUAUAUAUGUAAGUUCCCUGAUCAUCCAUGGGUAAGUAAGUCAAUCUCCCUCUUGUCCCUUUUCCCUACUCUCUAGCUUUGUGAAUAAGUUCUUUAUAAUCGUGUUUUAUGGGAUGGGAUUGCCUGACCUGUUUGGUUAAAACACCAAACUUGCAGUUUAUAAAAACACAAAACACAGCACAACAAACAAUCCAAACGAAAACAUAUAACUACAUUACACAAAAACACAAACUCAAAACACAAGAAAACAUGAACACGUAUACACAACAACACUCAAAUCAUAAACAUCACGUGCAUAAACAAAACUCAAAUAGACAAAACAAAAACACAAAAACACGUAAGCUCAACACUCCAAACAUAAACCUCACGUGCAGAGACAAAAUAUUCAAAUAGGAAAAACAAAAACACCAAAAACACAACACUAGACAAAAAUACACGAUCAUAGACCACAAUUCGUAGAACUGCAGUGUCAAGGUUUAUAAGCUAUGUGUUUGGAAUCAAAAGUUCAAUGCAGAUGACCUUGGGGAAGCCUACAACAAAGGAAUAUACGAGUGUCAGGACAUUAGGAUUUUCUAUUGGUGGCGAGGAGAGAAUUAGCCGCUUCAAUGGAUAUCUCUCUAAACUGGCUACAGCAGCGUUCGUCUGCUUGAGCUUACCAUGUUUUUAUAAGCGGCAUGAUAUUGUUGGAAAUUUUUAAUAGAGAUGGAAUUGGGACUAUGGUAGCAAGGAACCCAGAGGUCAAAGGGGAAGAUCUUUCUGGAAUUAGACAAAUAAGAAAACGUCUGGAUGAAUUUGGAACUCACUCAAAACUAAUGAGAAGGAGCUCAUAGAAUCAAACUAUGACAUAAAUUUAUUGAAAAAGGUGUGAAUAAUGGAGCAGCUUGAGUGUAGAAACUGGAAAAAUUUCCAGUUGUCUGACUUACUUCAUGGAUAAGCACCAAAACAAGGCUUUCUAUUUUUUAAUUUUCAACAUUUUUUGUUGAAUAAGUCCUCAUGUUCUGGCAGCUACGAACUCUAUCAUGUUAUUGCUAUUAAUUAUCUCUAUGAUUUGACAGAGGUCUAGGAAAAAAUGGCUUUGCAUGCUAUGAUUAGAGUUCUUAUUUCUAAGUUUUAUCGUGGAUAUCGUUUAAAGGAACAAUGAUCAUGUUGCUAUUCUGCAGAGAACGACAUCGAUUCCAACCCUUCUUUUCGAGAGUUCAAUCUUUAGGGAUGUGCACGGAAUUGAGGUAGAGGACAAGCGUUACAUGUAGAUGUAUAUUUACAUGAGUGUUAGAGAUGUCUUGGGGACAAUGGCUCUGCUUUGCUGGUCUUGGAGUGUGCUGAUUUCUACAUUUUUUCUUAGAUAUCUUCUGAAGGUGCUACUGAUCUGGAAGCUAGCCACUGUAUUUGAUGGGAAAUUCUCUAUGAAUGGGCGCUGGUUUGGCUUUUGGCCAUUCCAUUGUUUUGCUUGGGUUCGGAUUCGAUAAUAAGGUGGCUUAGAUCACUUUAACAUGUUUUCAUUCACCUAUUUGACUUCAAAAAAGUGGCCAAAACAUCGCUCGGACUAGAUGAUAACUCUUGCUAGAUAAAUUCAAGAGAAGGGAACUUUGAGGAGCAAACAAUAAAAACUGAUGACUCGCUCCAUAACAAAGAUUGUCCGAAGAUGGACUCGAAAUGAGGAAGGUGAAAUCAAGAGAGAACAAAGAAGGUGCUCUAGUGAAGUGCUCUCUCUCUCUCUCUCUCUCUCCCUCUCUCUCUUUCCUCAAAUCUCUUAAUUCUAUAGUCCGCACUCCGCACACUAAAACACCACAAAGUAAACAAACAACAAACUCAACACUCGUAACAAAAACUUCACAUGCACGAAACUAAAAUACACAAUACAAACACAACAAAACAAAUACACCACAAACAACAAACUCAACACACGUAACAAAAUACUUCACAUGCACGAAACUAAAUACACAAUACAAAUUACACAACAAGACAAAUACACGUCAAGUGACGCACGCAAAUCAACAAAAUUUUUACAUACAAUAGGCACGUCAAAACUAAACACAACACAAAUUUGGACGUCACAAAACUCAC